rnacentral:rRNA from 1 species
UACGUAGGGGGCAAGCGUUGUCCGGAAUUAUUGGGCGUAAAGAGCGUGUAGGCGGUCCGGUAAGUCAGCUGUGAAAGUCAAGGGCUCAACCCUUGAAUGCCGGUUGAUACUGUCGGGCUAGAGUCCGGAAGAGGCGAGUGGAAUUCCCGGUGUAGCGGUGAAAUGCGUAGAUAUCUGGAGGAACACCGGUGGCGAAGGCGGCAUCCUGGACCGGCAUUGACGCUGAGGAGCGAAAGCCAGGGGAGCAAACGGG